UCCAGCCUGGGUGACAGAGCAAGACUCCAUCUCAAAAGAAAAAAAAGUCCCAAAUCCCACAUGCCUGCUCUGAAAGUUAUUCUCAAAUUGUUUUUAAACUUUAAGAUGUGAAAAAGGAGGCCCAAAGAGAACUCAAGCAAUUUGCCCUAAAUCAUAUCCCUAGCAGAUGGAGAGGUAGGAUUCGAACCCAGAAUUCUUAACCAGUACCCGACAGUUCUUCCACAAUCUUAACAAUUACCCUCUACUGCCCUUUGGGCCCCCUGCCCUCAGGAGCCUGGUCAGCCAAGACUCACAUCCCCAGAGAAUCAAGCGAAACUGAUGCUUCAGAAAGAUGCCCCAUAUUUAUCCUGUGCCACGCAAAGUACCCUAGGUUGACAUGAGAU